GAAGCAUAGGCAUAAACAUAUUGAAUCUCACAAAAAUACUAAACAUCAUAGAAGAAAACGAAGUUACCACAAAGAUAAAAAUCAAGACAAUUAUUAUAAUAAGCCUAAAACCACUAAUAAAAGACAUAUUAAAAAAUCUAAGUCCAAAAAAUACGAUAAGAGUAAAGUUGUUUGCCACAAUUGCGGGCAAAAGGGUCAUUAUAAAAGUGAAUGUAAAAUAAAACAAAAACUAAAUCAGCUAAAUAUCUCUAGUGAAGAUACUGAACACAUAUUAGAACUUAUGAGAAUUGAGAACGACGUUAGUAAUGAUGAAGGUUCUUCAAUCUCUAAUUCUUCUAAAACAGAUAUAUUAUCAAGCAGUGACACAGAAGAAGUCACUAUUUGUGCUGAUAAUUGCAAUGAGAAUUGCUGCACUAAAAGAGUUAAUGUACUUAACAAAGAUGAUGAAGAAAGCUCUUUGUUAAUCGAAAUAAUCAGUAAAAUUAUUGAUCCUAAAGUAAAAGCUCAGUAUACUAAACAAUUAAAAGAUUUAUUAACCAAAGAUAAUAGUAAUGAUAGAUUUAUUAAAGCUAAAGAAAAACCAAUUUUUAGCCUCAAUAAAACAUUGGAAAGAUUUAAAUCUCCUGUUAAAGAAGUCACUCUCCCAAAAUUAAAUCUAGAAGUUAAUAAACUUAAAAAGGAUAUUGCUAAUUUAAAACUAGAAGUUUCCAAUUUAAGAAAAGAUUUUGAUGAUAAAAAGUCAGAUCUUCAGAUUAAUGAUUCCACAUCUAGUGAUGAAAAUCCUGAUGAACCAGAAUCAUCUGGAGUUAAAGAUGAAUCAGAUCAAGUUAUACAAGGUCUUACACUUAAAAGAAUCAAGGAUAUUACCAUUCAAAAAUGGUAUGUCUCGAUUAACCUGGUUGUUGAUAAAAGCUUCUCCAUACGACUUUCUGCUCUGGUUGAUACAGGUGCAGAUUUAAAGUGUAUACAAGAAGGAUUAAUCCCAACCAAGUAUUUUAGGAAAACUAGUGAAAGAUUAAAUUCAGCUAAUGGUAGUCAAAUGGAAAUUAAAUAUAAAUUGCCUAAGGUUCAUAUCUGUCAAGAUAAUAUGUGUUUUAAAACAUCAUUUAUUUUAAUUCGCAAUCUUACUGAUAAGGUCAUCUUAGGAUUACCAUUUAUAUAUUUACUUUACCCAUUUACUACUAAUAAAGAAGGUCUAAGCUGUAGACACUUAGGAAAGAAAAUAAUAUUUAAAUUUCUUAUUAAACCAAAAGUGAGGGAUUUAAAAUUCAUUCAAGAAGAAUCUAUCUCUAAAUCAUUAAAUCUACUCAAUUGUAAAACAACACAUUUGAAAUUUUUGAAAGAAGAAAUUAAAUAUAAACGGAUUGAAGAGUAGCUUCUGAGUAAAAAGGUUCAAGAACAAAUUGAAGAUUUAAAAAUCUAUUUAAAGGAUAACCUUUGUUCUGACUCUCCCAAUGCUUUCUGGCAUCAGAAAAAGCAUAUGGUUCGGCUCCCUUAUGCUAAGGAAUUUAAAGAACAUUUAAUUCCUACUAAGGCCAGGCCUAUUCAAAUGAAUCAUAAACAAGUGGAUCUUUGUAAAACGGAAAUCAAUGAUCUCCUUAGUAAAGGUCUUAUUAAACCCAGUAAAUCUCCCUGGUCUUGUCCUGCCUUCUAUGUCAACAAUGAAGCAGAAAAAGAGAGAGGAGUACCUCGUCUAGUUAUCAAUUACAAACCAUCGAAUAAAGUCUUAGAAUGGAUUAGGUAUCCCCUACCCAAUAAAGACGACCUUGUCAACAGGUUAAGUAAUGCCACAAUAUUCAGUAAAUUCGACCUCAAAUCCGAUUUCUGGCAAAUUGCCAUUCAUCCAGAUGAUAGUUACAAAACAGCAUUCACCACUCCGUUCGGUCAUUACGAAUGGAAUGUCCAGGCAUUUGGCCUAAAAAAUGCUCCAAGUGAAUUUCAAAAUAUCCUCAAUGACAUAUUAAACCCUUUCAGUCAUUUUAUUGUCGUCUAUAUUGACGAUAUCCUUAUUUUUUCAAUGACCAUUGAAGAACACAUUAAACACUUGAAAUCAUUCUUCAUGACUGUUAAAGAUAAUGGUCUAGUUCUUUCAGCUUCCAAAUGCAGCCUGUUUCAGGUCAGAAUAAGGUUUCUUAGUUUUAAUAUCUUUAGAGGACAUGUCCAGCCCAUUGAACGAGCUAUUCAAUUCGCUGACAAGUUUCCCGAUAAGAUAACCAACAAAACCCAACUGCAGAGAUUUCUUGGCUCGCUUAAUUACAUAGGCAAGUUUUACAAGAAUCUCAGGAAGAUCUGCAAACCUCUUUUUCAGCGUUUGCAAGACAAUCCACCGCCCUAGACUGACAUUCAUACUUCUGUCAUCCAACAAGUUAAAAAAUACGUCAAGGCAUUACCCUGUCUUGGAAUUUCCAAUGAUUCAGCAUUUAAAAUUGUUGAAACUGACGCCUCAGAUAUUGGUUUCGGGGGCAUUCUGAAACAAAAGUUAACACCUGAUUCCCCAGAACAGAUUGUUCGUUUUCAUUCCGGUGCAUGGAAUACUACACAAUUAAAUUACAGUACUAUUAAAAAAGAAAUACUUUCUUUAGUUUUAUGUAUUACUAAAUUUCAAAGUGAUUUAUUAAACCAAAAAUUUUUAGUUCGUAUUGAUUGUAAGUCAGCAAAAUACAUAUUAGAAAAAGACGUCCAAAAUCUAGCCUCUAAGCAUUCUUUCGCUAGAUGGCAAGCUUUAUUAAGCAUUUUUGAUUUUGAAAUUGAAUAUAUCAAGGGAAGUAACAAUUUAAUUCCUGAUUUUCUUACUCGGGAAUUUAUUAAUACAGGUACUAUUCAGAAAUGAGCACUAGAGGAGCAUCGUCCUCAAGGGGUCCGGGUCGCCCUUCUGGCCCAUUUAAUCAGCCCAGAGGAGCCAUGGUUCCUCAUCCAGUUAACCCAACUAUUCAGACCAGUAAUAAAUUCACUGUUCUCGGUACCAUGCCUAAGCCAUACAGUUCGGCUUUGGCCAGUCAGCCUAUUCCAGUUGACCCUUUCAGUAAUCCUGCUAAGGACUCGUCCUCAGCUCCUAGUCAUUCUCCUGCUGAGUACAUGCUCAGAUGGGAAAGUUAUUUAUUUCAUAUUGAACCCAGUAUGAAGCCCAAAAAUGACCCCAGUAAACUUGCUACCCAGUUUUUUCCCCCUGGAUGGCAUUUCCAACCUCUAGCUCCUUAUAAGUCCCUUGUGUACUAUAAGGAUAUUCUUCUGGAAACAGAGUCAGUAAACAUCAAGCCCAUUUAUGCACAGAAUGAUAAAUCAAAAGUCCUCUAUCAUUCUAUGUAUAUUAAACAGUUUGUUCAGAUCUCCGAUUGGGGAAAAAAUCCCUCCGAUCUCAUGGAUCUCUCCAGUCAAAAUCAUCAGUUUUGUUACUAUGAUUAUAUUGAAGCCUGGUAUAGGGUUCUCCUUCACCAGAACGAGUCACUUAGUCAUUCUUGGUUCAUUCAGUUUGACCAUAAGUUCAAAAGUCCUUUUCCUUAUUGGUUCGUCCUUUGGUGGUAUAGGUUAGGAUCUUGUUAUGAUCUUCUUCCUGACCCAUUGAAGGUUCAGUUAAAUCACUUCAAUAAUCAUUAUAAACCUAUCCCAUUGAAUGAAGGAGUUCCACCCACUCUUUUAUUUGUCAGUAAAUACAAGAUCCCUUGGAUUAUUAAAUGGGAGUAUCAUCUGGCAGUCCCUGGUACUCCAAUUAAUAACAUUCCCAAUGAUCCACUUCCUCGUGUGUCUCGCCUCUUUUAUGUUAAGUGGUGGGAUAAAUUUGACAUUAAAAGAAUAGUUACUCAGGUUCAGCAGGAAUUUCCUGUUGCUCCGAUCCCAGCUCUCCCAGUCAGUGCCUGUUCCCCGGCCAUUAAAGAAAAAGAGUCAGAGUCAGCCUCAAAGUCAAUAUCCAAAGUCAGUCCUUCGGGUUCAACAUGUUCCCGUAGUAUUUCAGAUUUUAAAGAUUGCACCAGUAAAGAGUUACUAAAGAUUGCCCAGGUACUCAAUAAAAGAAUUGAUGAAGCUUUGCAUGAAGAGGCUUCUAAUCAUUCUUCCCAGGGUGAUUCAAUCAGCCAGUUCGCCGUUGAUGAUGGUGAUUAUGAUCCUUACGGCACGGUCAACCUACAGGAUGCUCAGGAUCCAUUCGCCUGAGUUCAACAGUAUUAUCCAGUUCUAGACAGUUCCUGUUCCGGUCAGCCAGUUACUGCUCGGGCAGCCACUUAGUCAAAGGAAUCUGCUUUUCCACCGAAAGCAGCUGCAGUCAUUUAUGCGCGUCCCAGUCAUUCAUUGUUGUCGGCCAAUUUUUCAAAAGCAGCCGAAAGUUGUUGCAUUUAGUCAAAAGUAGUUACUUUUACUUUUACUUUUACUUAAGUAACAUGUUUCCACUUAAGUAAAAUGUUUUUACUUUACCCCAGUCAUUGUAACAGUUCUCUUUCCUUGCAUUAUAAAAGGAAACUGAGAUCAUUUGGUUCUUCAGAUUUCGAAACUUAAAAAGACUCUGAGCUCUCUCUCUCAGAAGAAUCUUUAGUUUCUACCUCUGAGAUCCCUACUUAACCCCUCUUCUCCAUUUCUCCAGUUAAAUGUUCUAAGUUGUAAGUUAAUAAUUUUAGAUGUUUUGUACAUAGUUUCAUUAAAUCAAUAAAAUUGUUUUUAUUUAGUAAUUAUUGUGUUGCACUUCUGCACUUCUUUUCUAUUAUCUUACUUCCGCCCUAAAUGGUAUCAGAGCCAAGUUGUUAUUGUUUCUAGUUGUUAGUCUGAUUUCAAUAAUCUUUCAUUCAUACUAUCUUCAUAACUUCUUCUUUCUGUAUCUGAAGUCACCUAACUUACUGUAGUCCACCCUACAUCGUGUCUACCCUUGUAAGUCUCUUGAGCGAGCAGUGUCGGGUAUUUGGUUUUGGGUAUGAGUCUACUCAAGGUAAGAGGGUCUGUAUGGAAGAUAAAGAGUGAGAUUUUGUUUUGAAGCUAUUAUAAUGAAUAGGUUAUUUAGAUCUAACUCUUCAACUAGUCACCGGUCAACUUUGCCUCCUGUUCCAGACAUAGUUAACCAAGAAACUCACAGUUAUGAAAAUAUCAGUCAAGCCCUACAUAAUUGGAAUAUACCUAGGGUUUCCCCUAAAGAAAUUUAUCAGUCAACAUUUCUUGAUAAUUUUAAAACUGAUUACAAUGUCAAAACAGUCGAAAAGGUUUAUGCUAUUAAUAAAGAAUAUGAAAAUUGUAGUCUUCUUGACCCUGAUGUUAUUAAAAAACAUAGGAAAAAGGGUUACAAUUUUAUUCAUAUUGGCUUAGUUCAAGUUGCAGUUAAACCAUUAAACAUCAAGGGAAUUAAUUCAUGCAUCUAUCUCUGUCUUAGAGAUGCUAGGUUCUUGAAUUACCACCCCAGCAUAAUAGGCGCAAUGGAGUCAAGUCUGCAUAAUGGACCAGUCCAUUUUAAUUGCUUUCCUGAUUUCACCCUAAGCCUUAGUGAUCAACAUUUACUAAAAGCUUUAACAUUAAACAUUAAAACUUCAGGCGAAAUCACUCACAUGAUUGAGGGGUCACAGCCAAUUGCUUUAAUUUAUAGGAUUUAUUAUAAAACAAUGAAAACAAAUUUAAAUGUUCAUGCUUUAAAUAAAAGUCCUAAAGAUUUAACAGUGUUAAUUCAAAGUUCUACUACUGAUGCUAAUAUUCAAGUCCCAAGAACAAUUCUUUGGAAAGAUAUUACGCUCCCUAGUCAGUGGACUUUACCUAAUGAAAUACCUCAACAACCUAUAAUUAAUAAUUUAUUAAAUAUAGAAAACGUUAGGCAAUUUUCCGAUGGAACGGUCAAGAUAAGUUUUGAACGUACCAAAAGACCAGUCAUUAUUGAAGACUUUACUAGUUCUUCAGCUCCUUCGUCUUACGUUCGAAGAGAUACUGAAGUACUCAGUAAUCCUUCAGUUAAAGACAUUAAAUUAAAAGGUAUUCUUAAUCAAGGCCAAGCUAGUCAUCCCUGUUAUGCUCAUAGAGAUUUUGUAGAAGAAGAAGAUUCUUCUUCUCCCACUUUUUCUGUGAUGCCCACUCAGUCAGAUUUCGAUAUUCCUAUUAACAAUCAAUUAAGAGUCAUUAAAAAAGAGUUCGUAUUAGAUUGGGACAAUCUGGUAAAAGAUUUUAAUUCCAAAUCUAAUAAGGAAAAAAGACAUUUAUUCAGAUCUAAUCACCCCACUGAAAAAGAACGUGAUAAGAUAGUCAAUAGAUGGAAAAGAUUCAUUAAAAGUGAGAGUUUGAAUAUUACAUUUUAUGAUUGGUAUGAACAAUUUCAAAGUAAAUGUAAUGUAAUAACCAAAACUCAAUGGAUUAAAGAAGAUAAAUCAAGAGUUUCUUCCAGUCAUCCUCCUUUAGAAACUGUUCUAAUUUCAGUUAAAAAUACUUCAGUUGUAGCCAGUCCAUUCAAAAUUUCUGAUGCUAGUAAUAAUGAUAAGAAAAUUAUAGAACAAUUAAACUUCAGUAAUCAAUAUCUAGCAACUGUAGGAAAACAGCUAGAUAGGAUAGAAGAAAAAUUUGAAGAGUCUAUUAUUAAAAAACCUGAUUCAAAAAUUGAACAUCCUUUAAUAAAAUUACCAGAAAAUAGAUAUAAGUUAGGUUUACCAUCUGAUGAUGAUAAUUUAGUUAAAACCAUUGAUAAGUUAUUCAAAAAACUAAAAAAUGAACCUGGUACGAGUGGUACAAUUGCCACUAUUGAUCAAGCUGAAACUGAUAUUAAAAGCAGUAGUGAUUCAGAUAAAUCUGACACUGAUUCAAUACCAAAUUUCAAUGAUCAGCUAAAAAAGUUAACUGUCAAAAACACCAGUAUAACUAGGAAUUGGUACUCUAGACCCACUCCUCCGGAUUUACAGUUCGAAGAGAGGAAUCUAGAUAAACAGUUCUCCGUUUCAUCUAAUAAAAUUUAUGAAUGGAACAUUGAUGGGUUUAGUGAACAAGAAAUUUUAAAUAAAUUGAAUCAUAUGUCUAUGGUAGCAAACAGUUACAUAACUAAAUUCAAUAAUUUGUCUCAACCAGACAUUGUUGAAUUGAUAGUUAGUGGAUUCACUGGUAUCCUCAGAUCUUGGUGGGAAAAACAUCUCACUGAAGAUACUAGAAUAUCAAUAAUCCAUGCUGUCCAAUUGGAUGAUGAUGGCAACCCUAUCUUCAAUGAAGAUCUUGGUGUUGGUCCACCAGAUGGAGUUAAUACACUUAUAUUUACCAUAAUAAAACACUUUAUCGGUACUCCCAGUAAUAUCACUGAGCGAAUUCACGAUCAGUUAAGUAAUCUCACUUGUCCCACUCUAAGCGACUUUAGAUGGUACAAAGAUGUUUUUACUUCCAGAGUUAUGUUACGCAAUGAUAGCAAUAAACCAUUUUGGAAAGAAAAAUUUGUCAAUGGUUUACCUUCAUUGUUUGCCCACAAAGUUCGUGAAGAAUUGAGUAAAAAUCUUGGUUAUAUUGACUAUGAUAACUUAACCUACGGUGAUAUAAUUAGUUAUAUUCAAAAGAUUGGAUUAAAAAUGUGUAUUGAUUUUAGAUUAGCCAAACAGGCUAGUAAAGACAAGAAAAAGGCCAAAUAUGAGUUAGGCACUUUCUGUGAACAAUAUGGCUUACCGCCAAUAGCUCCCUCCAGAAGGAAGCAUAGGCAUAAACAUAUUGAAUCUCACAAAAAUACUAAACAUCAUAGAAGAAAACGAAGUUACCACAAAGAUAAAAAUCAAGACAAUUAUUAUAAUAAGCCUAAAACCACUAAUAAAAGACAUAUUAAAAAAUCUAAGUCCAAAAAAUACGAUAAGAGUAAAGUUGUUUGCCACAAUUGCGGGCAAAAGGGUCAUUAUAAAAGUGAAUGUAAAAUAAAACAAAAACUAAAUCAGCUAAAUAUCUCUAGUGAAGAUACUGAACACAUAUUAGAACUUAUGAGAAUUGAGAACGACGUUAGUAAUGAUGAAGGUUCUUCAAUCUCUAAUUCUUCUAAAACAGAUAUAUUAUCAAGCAGUGACACAGAAGAAGUCACUAUUUGUGCUGAUAAUUGCAAUGAGAAUUGCUGCACUAAAAGAGUUAAUGUACUUAACAAAGAUGAUGAAGAAAGCUCUUUGUUAAUUGAACUAAUCAGUAAAAUUACUGAUCCUAAACUAAAAGCUCAGUAUACUAAACAAUUAAAAGAUUUAUUAAACAAAGAUAAUAGUAAUGACAGAUUUAUUAAAGCUAAAGAAAAACCAAUUUUUAGCCUUAAUAAAACAUUGGAAAGAUUUAAAUCUCCUGUUAAAGAAGUCACUCUCCCAGAAUUAAAUCUAGAAGUUAAUAAACUUAAAAAGGAUAUUGCUAAUUUAAAACUAGAAGUUUCCAAUUUAAGAAAAGAUUUUGAUGAUAAAAAGUCAGAUCUUCAGAUUAAUGAUUCCACAUCUAGUGAUGAAAAUCCUGAUGAACCAGAAUCAUCUGGAGUUAAAGAUGAAUCAGAUCAAGUUAUACAAGGGCUUACACUUAAAAGAAUCAAAGAUAUUACCAUUCAAAAAUGGUAUGUCUCGAUUAACCUGGUUGUUGAUAAAAGCUUCUCCAUACGACUUUCUGCUCUGGUUGAUACAUGUGCAGAUUUAAACUGUAUACAAGAAGACUUAAUCCCAACCAAGUAUUUUAAGAAAACUAGUGAAAGAUUUAAAUUCAACUAAUGGUAGUCAAAUGGAAAUUAAAUAUAAAUUGCCUAAGGUUCAUAUCUGUCAAGAUAAUAUGUGUUUUAAAACAUCGUUUGUUUUAAUUCGCAAUCUUACUGAUAAGGUCAUCUUAGGAUUACCAUUUAUAUAUUUACUCUACCCAUUUACUACUAAUAAUGAAGGUCUAAGCAGUAGACACUUAAGAAAGAAAAUAACAUUUAAAUUUCUUAUUAAACCAAAAGAGAGGGAUUUAAAAUUCAUUCAAGAAGAAUCUAUCUCUAAAUCAUUAAAUCUACUCAAUUGUAAAACAACACAUUUGAAAUUUUUGAAAGAAGAAAUUAAAUAUAAACGAAUUGAAGAGCAGCUUCUGAGUAAAAAGGAUCAAGAAUAAAUUGAAGAUUUAAAAAUCUAUUUAAAGGAUAACCUUUGUUCUGACUCUCCCAAUGCUUUCUGGCAUCGGAAAAAGCAUAUGGUUCAGCUCCCUUAUGCUAAGGAAUUUAAAGAACAUUUAAUUCCUACUAAGGCCAGGCCUAUUCAAAUGAAUCAUGAACAAGUGGAGCUUUGUAAAUAGGAAAUCAAUGAUCUCCUUAGUAAAGGUCUUAUUAAACCCAGUAAAUCUCCCUGGUCUUGUCCUUCCUUCUAUGUCAACAAUGAAGCAGAUAAAGAGAGAGGAUUACCUCGUCUAGUUAUCAAUUAUAAACCAUUGAAUAAAGUCUUAGAAUGGAUUAGGUAUCCCCUACCCAAUAAAGACGACCUUGUCAACAGGUUAAGUAAUGCCACAAUAUUCAGUAAAUUCGACCUCAAAUCCGGUUUCUGGCAAAUUGCCAUUCAUCCAGAUGAUAGUUACAAAACAGCAUUCACCACUCCGUUCGGUCAUUACAAAUGGAAUGUCCAGGCAUUUGGCCUAAAAAAUGCUCCAAGUGAAUUUCAAAAUAUCCUCAAUGACAUAUUAAACCCUUUCAGUCAUUUUAUUGUCGUCUAUAUUGACGAU
rnacentral:lncRNA from 1 species